rnacentral:rRNA from 1 species
GAUGAACGCUCGCGGCGUGCCUAAUACAUGCAAGUCGAGCGAACAGACGAGGAGCUUGCUCCUCUGACGUUAGCGGCGGACGGGUGAGUAACACGUGGAUAACCUACCUAUAAGACUGGGAUAACUUCGGGAAACCGGAGCUAAUACCGGAUAAUAUAUUGAACCGCAUGGUUCAAUAGUGAAAGACGGUUUUGCUGUCACUUAUAGAUGGAUCCGCGCCGCAUUAGCUAGUUGGUAAGGUAACGGCUUACCAAGGCAACGAUGCGUAGCCGACCUGAGAGGGUGAUCGGCCACACUGGAACUGAGACACGGUCCAGACUACUACGGGAGGCAGCAGUAGGGAAUCUUCCGCAAUGGGCGAAAGCCUGACGGAGCAACGCCGCGUGAGUGAUGAAGGUCUUCGGAUCGUAAAACUCUGUUAUUAGGGAAGAACAAAUGUGUAAGUAACUAUGCACGUCUUGACGGUACCUAAUCAGAAAGCCACGGCUAACUACGUG